UCGCAUCGAUGAAGAACGCAGCGAAAUGCGAUAAGUAAUGUGAAUUGCAGAAUUCAGUGAAUCAUCGAAUCUUUGAACGCACCUUGCGCUCCUUGGUAUUCCGAGGAGCAUGCCUGUUUGAGUGUCAUUAAAUUCUCAACUCCUCCAGCUUUUGUUAAGUUGGCUUUGGAGCUUGGAUUGUGGAGGUUUGCUGGCCCUUCUAUUGACUGGGUUCAGCUCCUCUGAAAUACAUUAGCGGAA
rnacentral:rRNA from 1 species